AUAAUAUUAUUCGAUACGCUAAUAAUUUAAUUUAAUAAUUUACUUUAAUUAAAACAUCAAAAUUAUGAUGCGUUUGCAAUGUACUUCUCAUCGCAUUUUUCAAUCAAUUUUUUCUUUAUUACAAUAUAAAGAUAUAAAAAAAAGCAUUAUUCGUAAACGAUUACAUUGUAACGUAUCUUAAAAGGUUACAAGACUAAUGUAUGUUCUUCAAGAUAUAAUACAUACAUUUUAUGUUUUCCAUAAAAAAAUUACCUUUAAUUUUAUAUAGAGAUAAAUGAACAGUAAAACGAAAGUUCAUAGAUAUAUCAUAAUCAUCACUCGUUUGCUGAGCGGUACAGGAAUCUAUAUUUAAAUAUUGUUUACUAAAGAAAAUUUCUACAAAAAUAAAGUUGACCUACCGUAUUAUACAGCUCCUCAAGGCGAGCGCCUGCAUCAUCGCCUGUUCUAAAGCGCCAAGCGGCCACUUUUGGCCGUACACGAAGAUCUCGCUACGAGCAAUAUCCACCCUGUUCCAUAUUAAAGAAAGAGAUAACUGCUCAGCCGGCGACAGUUGCUUCGACUUAAAUAAAGCUGUCAAGAUGGUUUGAUCGAGUUCUUGCGGCCUGUCUUGCGAUAUCCUGAACACAGUGAUCUGCAAAAAUAAUUUUUCUUCAGAGCUCGGAACAGAGCUGACUCGCCUGUUCGGCGGAGACUUGAAAGGUACGUUUGAUCGUCUCUAAAACUUGUUCUUUGACGCCCUCCAGCGGCCCUUCACCCUCACCGGUUUGCCCAUCUCUCCAUCUGUCGAUUAGAUCGGCUGCACGUCCAGAACCAUCGCAAACGACAACCGGUACCGGUGGAUCAUCGGUCACGUAUUCCAGAACUGCACGAAUAGUGUUAGUUCCACCCUCGAUGACCAACGCGACCACAGGGAGACGUACCAUGGCGAGGAGACGCAAUCAUACGACACCUCUCCGCCGCGACCAACCAGCUCAUGGCUCUUGUCCAAAAUUCCCCAAGGGGCAAUACCUAUGCUCACCACACG